rnacentral:misc_RNA from 1 species
UCUCCGUAGGUGAACCUGCGGAGGGAUCAUUACAGAGCUCUCGCCCUCGCGGGUAGAUCUCCCACCCACUGUUAUCGUUACUGUGUUGCUUUGGCGGGCCGCCGGGCCCCGCUCGGCCGCCGGCUCCGGCUGGCGCGCGCCCGCCAGAGGCCCAGCAAACUCUGAAUGUUAGUGUCGUCUGAGUACUAUAUAAUAGUUUAAACUUUCAACAACGGAUCUCUUGGUUCUG